rnacentral:rRNA from 1 species
AGAGUUUGAUCAUGGCUCAGGAUGAACGCUGGCGGCGUGCCUAACACAUGCAAGUCGAGCGAUUCUCUUCGGAGAAGAGCGGCGGACGGGUGAGUAACGCGUGGGUAACCUGCCCUAUACACACGGAUAACAUACCGAAAGGUAUGCUAAUACGAGAUAAUAUGCUUUUAUCGCAUGGUAGAAGUAUCAAAGCUCCGGCG